GGUCACUUCAGCAGCAUGUAUCCUAAAAUUUAAAUUUAAAUGAUACAGAGAUUAGACUGGCCCCUCCCUGCACAAGGAUAACACACAAACUCAGGAAGCAUUUCUUUUUUUU